GAUGAAGAACGCAGCAAAAUGCGAUAAGUAAUGUGAAUUGCAGAAUUCAGUGAAUCAUCGAAUCUUUGAACGCACAUUGCGCCCGCCAGUAUUCUGGCGGGCAUGCCUGUUCGAGCGUCAUUUCAACCCUCAAGCUCAGCUUGGUGUUGGGACUCGCGGUAACCCGCGUUCCCCAAAUCGAUUGGCGGUCACGUCGAGCUUCCAUAGCGUAGUAAUCAUACACCUCGUUACUGGUAAUCGUCGCGGCCACGCCGUAAAACCCCAACUUCUGAAUGUUGACCUCGGAUCAGGUAGGACUACCCGCUGAACUUAAGCAUAUCAAUAAGCGGAGGA
rnacentral:misc_RNA from 1 species